AGUAUCGCGAGAUCAGGAAGGUGGCCGAGUGUGUCGCCGCGGCCAUCAGGCACUUCUCCUUCCUGCCCUUGUAUGAAGAAGGAUGUGUUUGCUUCCCCUUGUGCCAUGAUUGUAAAUUUCCUGAGGCCUCCUCAGCCCUGCAGAACUGGGGUUAUAGCCAUGUGACUGAUCUUCGUCCAAGAAUAUGUAAAGAAAAAGUGUUGAGUUGGCUUUUAGGGCUAGAGCAAUGUAUCUUAGGCUCACUUAAGGAAGCUGUAGAGAUGAGCCCAAGGAGGGAAACCAGAAGAGCCCCCCAGGCUCACCAGUUGUUUGUUGGCUCCCUACAAACAUGUCAUUCAAGUGGCUAAUCUUACAACAGCACAAAUUCAUCUAACCAGCAGAAAGAGAAGAGGAGGCUCCAAAGGCACUUGACUACUGAGCAUCACCCUGGACGUGUACAAGUCUGCGUCCUUAUUGUUUUCUUCAUUGGGCCGAACUUUCUGGUCCUCAUCCAACAGCUCUUCUAUCACGUGUUCGAAAGUGUCAGCCAAUGAUGUCAAGCCUCUUGAACCUGCCUUGGGCCCAUUCACGCUCUCCAGAGUCCCAUGGGUCCGCACACCUGGAGAUACUCUAUUAUAGCAAAGAAGAAAGAUAAUUUCAUUGAGCCAUCCUGUUUUACAGAAUGUCUGCAAUAUCUGCUGGCUUUAUGUUUCAUAUGAUAAGCAUAUCGUCUGUGCCUUCAGACACAUUAUCAGCCAACAUGUCGGUGCUGGAUGUAUUUUCCCAAUGUUGCAUAAGAGGAAUACCUUCGAGAGUUUGGCCUAGGAAUGUGGCCUGGGACUCCGCCAAGCAUCUCUCUCCAGCAAAAUGACUGCAAAUUUCUCGACCUUCAGAUUCUACAUGAUGUAAAAGAAGUUUGUCUGUGUUUAAAAACACAUUCAAGAAAUAAGUGAACAUGUGAAAAGACAGAAAAACUUGUUUUAAUUUGGGCAUAGUUUCAGUUUUCAAAGGCACAUGAAGGCAGAAAGAAAGAAUCACAAAAUGGAACUACUGAUGAUAGCAACUCCAAAACCAAGACUGAUUAGACUAAAUCCCAUGUGGCAAAAAUUUUAUUUAGUAAGUUUCCUUCUCCCUCUCUCCCUUUAGAUAUAUGUGCAUACACACACACGCACCUUUAUUUUAGUAAUUUUUUUUUUCUGAAAAAGAAAGUUUUCUGCACCUGAUUGCUUCCAUGAAUAACACAAAGCACAAACAAUAUGACUUUCUUUGGUUAUCAUGCAAUUUUUUCUCUGCUUACCAGAAAUUGGCACAAAUUUAAGAUAUACUAUAUUCUACUCCCUGAAGCACAGUCGCUGGCAUCUCCACUGGCAUUUAAAAAUUUGAAGACAUUUAAAAGAAAAUCCACAAGCUUAUAGUUGCUGUCUAAAUCAACUUUAACAUUUCAUAUAUUCACAAUUUCAUAAGUGAAUCAAAUUACACAUAAGAAAUUAUAGAACUAAGCCAACUAAAUGACUUUUAUAAUAGGUACUGGGGAAAAAUAUUAUUAAACCUUUUCCUCCAAUUUCUGCCUUUCUUCCAGCAAGACAAACCAUUUUCAUGAAGUUUCUGUCUACAUCACUAGUGAUAAUCUGAAGCAGCCAUUAAUCAAUCUAUUAGUGCAUUCAGCAACAUUUAUCAAAGUGCCUCCCCAGAACUGUUUUGGAUGCUGUUGUGGGCGCAUGCAAAAAUGAACUAAAUAUAGAUUUUUGUCAUCCAAGA
ensembl:lncRNA BDNF-AS BDNF antisense RNA